AUUGAUAAUUAGGUGUAUAAUCAAGUAGAAAUGGCUUAAUUCAAACGGAAUCGGGUGAGAAUCCCGAGCAACCGCCAUUACCGUAUUUGAUGAAGAUUUUGCAACGCCAUCGGUAACACGAGAAGGCGCAAAGUCAAGCAGUGCUAUAUCAUAAGUCGGGAGACGAGUUUUAAGCUUAAUUUUCGC
rnacentral:ncRNA from 1 species